GCCAGGUUGGUGACAACUGUCAAUAUGAAGCUGGAGCCAACAGCUGGUUAGCUUUGCUUGGCAUAAAGACCGGGGGAAACAGAUACUCAGGCUCUGUCCAAGGAGUGGGAACAGGUGUGCGGGAACCAGACUUCCAGCUGCCAACAAUCCAAUUUACUCUGCUAUAAAGCUCCAGUCCUGACUUGCCAGAUCAUUGACUCUGUAUCAACAUUUACUCCAGUUUGACUCCUGCUCCUCCUGGCUUUUCCCCUGUGCCCAUCUCCAGCCUGCUCGGUUUGGAGCCUUCUCUCCAUUGUUCGCUUGCGAACUGCAGCACCAUCUCAUAAAGCAUACUGCUCUAGGAAGUUUUAAAAUAGAUAUUUAAAAAAGGUUUUUACUCAAGUACUGUAGCCUAGUGAAAUGU